rnacentral:rRNA from 1 species
AGAGUUUGAUCAUGGCUCAGGAUGAACGCUGGCGGCGUGCCUAAUACAUGCAAGUCGAACGGUGAGGAGCAAUCUUCAUAGUGGCGAACGGGUGAGUAACGCGUUGGUGACCUGCCCCAAAGAAUGGGAUAACAGACCGAAAGGUUUGCUAAUACCAUAUGUGUCGUAGCGGUUUAGAAACGUUACGGGAAAGGGAGAAAUCCGCUUUGGGAGGGGCCUGCGUCCCAUCAGCUAGUUGGUAAGGUAACGGCUUACCAAGGCGAUGACGGGUAGGGGACCUGAGAGGGUGGCCCCCCACAAUGGAACUGAAACACGGUCCAUACACCUACGGGUGGCAGCAGUAGGGAAUAUUGCUUAAUGGGCGCAAGCCUGAAGCAGCAACGCCGCGUGUGCGAUGAAGGCCUUCGGGUCGUAAAGCACUUUUGACUGGGACGAGGAAGGACGGUACCAGUAGAAUAAGCCUCGGCUAACUACGUGCCAGCAGCCGCGGUAAAACGUAGGAGGCGAGCGUUAUCCGGAUUUACUGGGUGUAAAGCGCGUGCAGGCGGUUUGUUAAGUUGGAUGUGAAAGCUCCUGGCUCAACUGGGAGAGGUCGUUCAAGACUGGCAGACUGGAGAGCAGUAGGGGAAGGUGGAAUUCCGGGUGUAGUGGUGAAAUGCGUAGAUAUCCGGAGGAACACCAGUGGCGAAAGCGGCCUUCUGGACUGCAUCUGACGCUCAGACGCGAAAGCUAGGGGAGCAAACGGGAUUAGAGACCCCGGUAGUCCUAGCUGUAAACGAUGUGAACUUGGCGCUGGACGGGUAAAACCGAUCAGUGCCGAAGCAAACGCGAUAAGUUCACCACCUGGGGACUACGGCCGCAAGGUUAAAACUCAAAGGAAUUGACGG